GACGAACGCUGGCGGCGUGCUUAACACAUGCAAGUCGAACGAAGAGCGAUGGAAGCUUGCUUCUAUCAAUCUUAGUGGCGAACGGGUGAGUAACGCGUAAUCAACCUGCCCUUCAGAGGGGGACAACAGUUGGAAACGACUGCUAAUACCGCAUACGAUCUGACCUCGGCAUCGAGGAUAGAUGAAAGGUGGCCUCUAUUUAUAAGCUAUCACUGAAGGAGGGGAUUGCGUCUGAUUAGCUAGUUGGAGGGGUAACGGCCCACCAAGGCGAUGAUCAGUAGCCGGUCUGAGACGAUGAACGGCCACAUUGGGACUGAGACACGGCCCAGACUCCUACGGGAGGCAGCAGUGGGGAAUCUUCCGCAAUGGACGAAAGUCUGACGGAGCAACGCCGCGUGAGUGAUGACGGCCUUCGGGUUGUAAAGCUCUGUUAAUCGGGACGAAAGGCCUUCUUGCGAAUAGUUAGAAGGAUUGACGGUACCGGAAGAGAAAGCCACGGCUAACUACGUG
rnacentral:rRNA from 1 species